UGGGGUGGCUGUUUUCCUACGUGGACCAAGCAGGGUCCCAGUUCAAGUUUCUGCUGCGUAUCUGAUAAUCUUGAGGUAUUUAUGAAGAACUCCUUUGAAAGUUCUCUACUGAGUUUCCUUAAGGAAUUGGAAUAUUAUUCAAUCCAGGUUUAAGUCCUUCAGCAUCUGACAUUCUCCUGGCAACUGUAAUUGAAUCAAUGAUGACUCAUGUGAGAUGAGCAAGUUGGUCCAGUCAGACCAAACAAAAGACAUUCUAUAAUCAGGGGAGAAGUCUUCUCUAUAUCUCUCUUAUAUAAGCAAAUUUAAUGACCUCCACCAUCUCUAAGAACAAGCAGCUAUUUCUGUAGAGAAAGAUCAUCUUUGGAUAACAAUACAUGAUUUUAGGCUCUAAAAGUUAAAACGUGUUUGUAACGUUGAUAUUAUGCAGAGGUCUUGACAGAACUUGGCAGUCUCUGAGGCUACAGAGAAGUGUGAAAAAGAGCAUAGAGAUUUCAGAAGGAGGCAGAUUCAGUCAGACGUACUGAAUCCCGUUUGAUCUCAACUUAGGCACACUCCAGAUGGACGGAGCAGGAAAACCCUCAGUGAAACCUGCCUCUGCAGGUUGAUGGCUUGGGAGGAAAGGCAUUACGGAAAAUGAUUAGCAGCAUGUACUAACUACUGCUGAUUCUUAAGUUUAUGGAAAAAAUAAAUAAACAAGACUGGUCAGAAAGACUGUGAAAGAAGAACUAUAAAGGGAGAUGAAUCCAAGCAGAUAUUUAGACAUAUCAAGCCUAAUAAUGGAAGUGUGGCACUGGAAUCACGAGACUGACCAAUGGAACAGAAAGCUAAGAAACAGACCCGAAAACAUGAGAAGUAUUGAACAGCACACUAGAGUUUUUGUCCAGAAGUUUGACUUUAGAAGAUAAGAAAUAACUGAGCGUAUUACAAGCAGGAGUUAGAGGAAGAGACUCAGUACAGAAGAGACAGGAACAAAAGUUCACCUCCGUUCAACGGGAAAGGAUACAGAUCAAGAGUUCAGGAAAAGUAGGAGAAAGAAGCUCUAUUCCAGAAGCAGUCUGGAGCACAAAGAAUCCCUAAUCACUGACAUUAAGAAAGAAGAAAAAUAUUCCUAGGACGAUCCUGGAGAGCAAAG